rnacentral:rRNA from 1 species
GCUCCAGACUCCUACGGGAGGCAGCAGUAGGGAAUCUUUCACAAUGGGCGAAACCCUGAUGCAGCGACGCCGCGUGGAGGAAGAAGGUCUUCGGAUUGUAAACUCCUGUCCUUGGGGACGAUAAUGACGGUACCCAAGGAGGAAGCACCGGCUAACUACGUGCCAGCAGCCGCGGUAAAACGUAGGGUGCAAGCGUUGUCCGGAAUUACUGGGUGUAAAGGGAGCGCAGGCGGAUUGACAAGUUGGGAGUGAAAACUACGGGCUCAACCCGUAACCUGCUUUCAAAACUGUCAGUCUUGAGUGGUGUAGAGGUAGGCGGAAUUCCCGGUGUAGCGGUGGAAUGCGUAGAUAUCGGGAGGAACACCAGUGGCGAAGGCGGCCUGCUGGACUUUUACUGACGCUGAGGCUCGAAAGUGUGGGGAGCAAACAGGAUUAGAUACCCCAGUAC